rnacentral:pre_miRNA from 1 species
ACAACAUUCGGACCGUCGGUCUACCGAGCAACAUACCAGCUCGGUGGAAGAUCUUUCCCAUCGUCGU